rnacentral:rRNA from 1 species
AUUGAACGCUGGCGGCAGGCCUAACACAUGCAAGUCGAGCGGGGUUUUCGGACCUAGCGGCGGACGGGGGAGUAAUGCGUAGGAAGCUGCCCGAUAGAGGGGGAUACCAGUUGGAAACGACUGUUAAUACCGCAUAAUGUCUACGGACCAAAGUGUGGGACCUUCGGGCCACAUGCUAUCGGAUGCGCCUACGUGGGAUUAGCUGGUUGGUGAGGUAAUGGCUCACCAAGGCGACGAUCUCUAGCUGGUUUGAGAGGAUGAUCAGCCACACUGGAACUGAGACACGGUCCAGACUCCUACGGGAGGCAGCAGUGGGGAAUAUUGGACAAUGGGCGCAAGCCUGAUCCAGCCAUGCCGCGUGUGUGAAGAAGGCCUUCGGGUUGUAAAGCACUUUCAGCGAGGAGGAAGGGGUUGUAGUUAAUAUCUGCUGGCUGUGACGUUACUCGCAGAAGAAGCACCGGCUAACUCCGUGCCAGCAGCCGCGGUAAAAC